AAGUCCGGACCCUGGCGCUUAUU
rnacentral:miRNA from 1 species